rnacentral:rRNA from 1 species
UCCUACGGGGGGCAGCAGUGGGGAAUAUUGGGCAAUGGGCGCAAGCCUGACCCAGCAACGCCGCGUGAAGGAAGAAGGCUUUCGGGUUGUAAACUUCUUUUCUGAGGGACGAAACAAAUGACGGUACCUCAUGAAUAAGCCACGGCUAACUACGUGCCAGCAGCCGCGGUAAUACGUAGGUGGCAAGCGUUAUCCGGAUUUACUGGGUGUAAAGGGCGUGUAGGCGGGACUGCAAGGCAGAUGUGAAAAUUAUGG